CAUUUGCCAACACCUCAACCAACUCCCGGCUGCGGGGGUUAUUCCUCAGGUGCUCGUACAUCACGAGGCACCUAUCCCGAUAGCGGCGAUACUUCUCUAGUGCCCACAAGAAGAGUCCUGAGUAAACGUUGGCCCGACGCAUGCUCUCGACCUCCAAAAGAAAGGUUUGCAAGAUAAAAGCUGUGGUUAAGUUAGGAAGCAAACCAAGGAAAGAAAAGAAACGAAAGAAGAUCA
rnacentral:lncRNA from 1 species